rnacentral:rRNA from 1 species
CAGGAUGAACGCUAGCGGCAGGCCUAACACAUGCAAGUCGAGGGGCAGCAGGGAGUAGCAAUACUCCGCUGGCGACCGGCAGACGGGUGCGUAACGCGUAUGCAACCUGCCCCGUACAGGGGGAUAACCGUUGGAAACGGCGACUAAUACCCCGUAACACGCUACCUCGCAUGGGGAUGCGUUGAAAGCCUUGGCGGUACGGGAUGGGCAUGCGUGGCAUUAGGUAGUUGGCGGGGCAACGGCCCACCAAGCCAUCGAUGCCUAGGGGAGCUGAGAGGCUAAUCCCCCCACACUGGUACUGAGACACGGACCAGACUCCUACGGGAGGCAGCAGUGAGGAAUAUUGGUCAAUGGAGGGAACUCUGAACCAGCCAUGCCCGCGUGAGGGAAGAAGGCCCUACGGGUUGUAAACCUCUUUUAGCCGGGGGUAAUAAGCGUCGUGCGCGGCGCGAUGAAAGUACCGGCGGAAUAAGCAUCGGCUAACUCCGUGCCAGCAGCGGC